UACGUAGGGGGCAAGCGUUGUCCGGAUUUAUUGGGCGUAAAGAGCGUGUAGGCGGCCUGGUAGGUCAGUUGUGAAAACUCGAGGCUCAACCUCGAGACGCCGAUUGAAACCAUCAGGCUAGAGUCCGGAAGAGGAGAGUGGAAUUCCCGGUGUAGCGGUGAAAUGCGCAGAUAUCGGGAAGAACACCCGUGGCUAAGGCGGCUCUCUAGUACGGUACUGACGCUGAGACGCGAAAGCGUGGGGAGCGAACAG
rnacentral:rRNA from 1 species